rnacentral:rRNA from 1 species
AGUGAACGCUGGCGGCAGGCCUAACACAUGCAAGUCGAACGGCAGCACAAGAGAGCUUGCUCUCUGGGUGGCGAGUGGCGGACGGGUGAGGAAUGCAUCGGAAUCUGCCCAUUUGUGGGGGAUAACCUCGGGAAACCGGGACUAAUACCGCAUACGACCUACGGGUGAAAGCAGGGGAUCUUCGGACCUUGCGCAGAUGGAUGAGCCGAUGCCGGAUUAGCUAGUUGGAGGGGUAAAGGCCCACCAAGGCGACGAUCCGUAGCUGGUCUGAGAGGAUGACCAGCCACACUGGGACUGAGACACGGCCCAGACUCCUACGGGAGGCAGCAGUGGGGAAUAUUGGACAAUGGGCGCAAGCCUGAUCCAGCCAUGCCGCGUGUGUGAAGAAGGCCUUCGGGCUGUAAAGCACUUUUGUUGGGAAAGAAAAGCAGCCGGUUAAUACCCGGUUGUCAUGACGGUACCCAAAGAAUAAGCACCGGCUAACUUCGUG